GACGACGCUGGCGGCGUGCCUAACACAUGCAAGUCGAACGAAGCAUAGCAAUAUGCUUAGUGGGCGGACGGGUGAGUAACGCGUGAACAAUCUGCCCUGUACAAAGGAAUAGCCUCGGGAAACCGGGAUUAAAACCGUAUGACACUUUAGUAUCGCAUGAUAAGAAAGUCAAAUCGAAUAGAGGUAUGGGAUGAGUUCGCGUCUGAUUAGCUGGUUGGCGGGGUAACGGCCCACCAAGGCGACGAUCAGUAGCCGGCCUGAGAGGGUGAACGGCCACACUGGAACUGAGACACGGUCCAGACUCCUACGGGAGGCAGCAGUGGGGAAUAUUGCACAAUGGAGGGAACUCUGAUGCAGCGACGCCGCGUGAGUGAAGAAGGUCUUCGGAUCGUAAAACUCUGUCCUUGGUGAAGAAAAGGACGGUAGCCAAGGAGGAAGCCCCGGCUAACUACGUG
rnacentral:rRNA from 1 species